GAUUAACGCUGGCGGCGUGCAUAACACAUGCAAGUCGAACGAUGAAACUUUAAUGAACCCUUCGGGGAGAAUUAAAGCGGAUUAGUGGCGAACGGGUGAGUAACGCGUGAGUAACCUGCCUUACACAAGGGGAUAGCCUUUGGAAACGAAGAAUAAUACCCUAUAAAACCAUAAAAGCACAUGCAAUUAUGGUCAAAGUGAUAGCGUGGUAAGAUGGACUUGCGUCUGAUUAGCUAGUUGGGGAGAUAAAAGGCAACCAAGGCAACGAUCAGUAGCCGGCUUGGAGGGACGUCCGACACCUUUGGGCCUGGGACCCGGCCCGAAUACUUGCGGGAGGCCGAAGUGGGGAUUUUUCCACAAUGGGGGAAUCCCGAAGGCCGUCCGGCGGCGUGAUUCAGAAGGCUUUGGGGUUGUAAAAAUCUUUUGUAUAGGAAGAAAAUGACAUUACUAUACGAAUAAGGUCCGGCUAAUUACGUG
rnacentral:rRNA from 1 species